AUGCAGUCGAGCGGCAGCACAAGGGAGUUUACUCCUGAGGUGGCGAGCGGCGGACGGGUGAGUAAUGCCUAGGGAUCUGCCCAAUCGAGGGGGAUAACAGUUGGAAACGACUGCUAAUACCGCAUACGCCCUACGGGGGAAAGGAGGGGACCUUCGGGCCUUCCGCGAUUGGAUGAACCUAGGUGGGAUUAGCUAGUUGGUGAGGUAAUGGCUCACCAAGGCGACGAUCCCUAGCUGUUCUGAGAGGAUGAUCAGCCACACUGGGACUGAGACACGGCCCAGACUCCUACGGGAGGCAGCAGUGGGGAAUAUUGCACAAUGGGGGAAACCCUGAUGCAGCCUUGCCGCGUGUGUGAAGAAGGCCUUCGGGUUGUAAAGCACUUUCAUUAUGGAGGAAAGGGUGAGUCUUAAUACGGCUCAUCUGUGACG
rnacentral:rRNA from 1 species